UACGUAGGGGGCAAGCGUUUGUCCGGAUUUAUUGGGCGUAAAGAGCGUGUAGGCGGUCUGGUAGGUCCGUUGUGAAAACUCGAGCUCAACCUCGAGACGCCGAUGGAAACCCUCAGACUAGAGUCCGGAAGAGGAGAGUGGAAUUCCUGGUGUAGCGGUGAAAUGCGCAGAUAUCAGGAAGAACACCGGUGGCGAAGGCGGG
rnacentral:rRNA from 1 species